AGAAAUUGGAUGAGGUUAGGGACAGUGAGAGGCUUUUUCUAUACGAUUGCUGCUAUUACCUCAUUGAGCUUACACCACCUAUGGGGUAUUAAGUUAAGGUUAUGUCCAUUCUUUACAGUAUCCUGGGCCCUGAAUGCAAUGCUCUCUGCAUGUUAUUUACAAUUUUAUGGCAAGACAGGAGGCUUCAUAUUUGCUUAUCUUUCUUUAUUGUAAC